rnacentral:lncRNA from 1 species
AGAGACCCAUCAGGCGGGGAGGGCCUGGGCGGUGGCGGCGCCCCCUUGGUGGGGCCGCAGAGCGGAGGAGCAGCAGCUGCCACCGGCCGGAAGCCUGCUGGCUCGGCCGAGAACAAUGGCCGCCUGUCACUGUGGACAGCUGUCUCCCAGGCUAAGGCAAGGCUGCGCUCCCAGGGAAUGCGGGCAGGGAGCCAGGGCGGAGGGCAGAGGACGAGAGCGAGGAGGAGAGCGCGGGCACCCACUGAUGCUGGCGGCCUCGGGUAUUCGCUUUCUCUCUCUUCUCCCACCUUGUUCCUUUUCCCCGGAUGCACGCAUGCACUAGUAAUGCCGAAUUUAGAACAACAGGGAAAGGAAAGGAAAUGGCAAAGGAAGGGAAAGGAAAUGGCCGACAGGAAAUGGCAAGGAAGGGAAAAUCCACUGCAACUCUGCUGCCUGCUGGCCUGUCCAGGGACAACUAUUCAGCUGGGUGGGACGUUGCUACCCCCUUGUGGCACCCCUGCUGCAGCCUGCGAUUCUUACGCCCUGUAUUUCUGGUCUAACAUCAACCAACACUUUGGCGAAAUAUAAUAAAAUGAAAUUACUAGGAGAAUGAAAGAAAGUCACAUGAAAUAAAAGCCCUGCUUUUUAAUGAUUAUAUCCUCUGUGAAAUGGAUCUGCAGCCCUCUCCAUUUCUGGGUUCCCCUGGCCACACCAUGCUUAUGGCUGUCCCAGGAGCAGGCUGACAGACAAGCUUCCACCAGCAUCUAACCAUGGGGCUCAUGGACACCGUAGAGCGUCUCCACCCAACAGAAUCCUGACUUGGGGGCAGCUGAGGCAGGGGGCCCGAGCGUUGAGGGGACCACGCUGCUGCCCCGAGACCUGCUGGCAUGCCACCUGGCCAACCCUGACUUCGCCUGCCCGGGCGCAUGUUAACUGAGUUACAACACUGAGGGCACUUGAACCUGGCUGCAUGACCAGAGAUCGAUCACCUGUGAGAUCCUCUGUGAAACGGGAUAAGCAUCUUUAAUUUCCUGGGCUGUUCUGGAACUUCAGUCAGACAGGACACAGGAGGGUGUCUGCACCACCCACCCCUGCCUCGUGGGCUGACUGGGAACUAUAUGACCUGUGGAGGGCUGUGACCGCCACCCUCCACCUCACUGGGGCCGCAAGCCUUCUCUGCUCCUUGAUUCUGCUGCCGUUGUGAGCGAGGGCCCCAGCACCCUUAGGGACCCCAAUCAAUGGGCUUCCCACAAUGUCGUCACCCUUUGUUGCCUGCUAAGCAGCCCUGGGGCCACCUCAGAAGAAACAGAACUCACAGGUCACAGGGGCCUUUUCCUCCUCGUCAUCGUCCUCCUCCUCUUCUUCUUCCUCCCUGGGCAACUUCCUGAAUUCGGAAAGGUCUGUCUGUAGCAGCUGUGAAACUGCUUCGUGGGCCAGAGCAGCAGCAAGUGGUGGCGGGGCCUUCCUAGGGAUGAGGAGGGGGAAGUGAGGGGCAGCCCCCAGCAGGAGACCACACCUAGCCCCCCUUCCCCAACUGUCAGCCCACAUGCUGAGGGGUCACGGCCAGCAGGGCGGCCCCUGUCCUCAGGGAGCUGGGACAGGAAGGUCACAGGACAGCAAAGGCAGACGCACAACCAUCUGGUGGGGAGCUGGACCAUACUUGAGCCUGCGGCUAG